AUACAACUUUCAACAAUGGAUCUCUUGGCUCUCGCAUCGAUGAAGAACGCAGCGAAAUGCGAUAAGUAAUGUGAAUUGCAGAAUUCAGUGAAUCAUCGAAUCUUUGAACGCACCUUGCGCUCCUUGGUAUUCUGAGGAGCAUGCCUGUUUGAGUGUCAU
rnacentral:rRNA from 1 species